UUCUCUUUUUCCUUUUCACCCCUGGUUCUUGGAAAACCCUAAGUCUUACUCCAUUUCCGCCCCCAUUUUCUCCCUCCUCCCCUUCUUCGAUUUCCCCCAUUGAAAUUCUAUCUUCCCUUUUCAUCGUCUCUCCUGCAAUUCAUACUCCAUAGAUUUGCGAAGCUUUUCAUCUUCCACAAAAAUGGUGUCCGGUGGAUCGAUAGUGCCGCAUCAACUUCACUUUCCGAAGCUCUCUCGUCUUUCCGUCUUCAUUUUCGCUCUUUCUAAUGUUACAAGAUGUUUGUGAUUCAAAAGCUGGUGCUGAACUUCUUGACUUGGAUCUUCUCAAGGUUGUUACUGGUCCAUGAACUGUGAUCAUAUGACAUAUCAAGAUUUCUGCUGAUGUUCUACUGUUGGAAUUGUGCUUGUUUUUGAGAAAAAGUAAGAAAGAAUUCACACCAAAAUGGCAACUUAUUACCCGAGUUCAAGUGGUCAGCUAGAUGUCCUGUGAGCUUGGUGGAUAUGGAGAUGUGGUUCUCGAUGCAUGCUGUCAAAAUAUUGUUUCUGAUGAUGAGAUACGGCAUCUUGCUGUUGAGAUGUCAGUACGUCUUGUAACUUGUUUGCAGAAAUAUAACCCUCGUAGACCCUGUAUGAGCAGGCUGGAAUGUCUAGCACACUUAUCAAGUCCAAGUACCUCAAGGCAGCACAACUGUUGCUAGGCGAAGUUGUUAAUGUUCGGGAUGCUCUUAAGCGAUCUGAUUCUGGAAAAGAACAAUCUCCAAGGAAGGUAGAUGAAGGUUCCAAGGAAGUCUAAAGGCGGAUCUCAAGCCGCUUCAGAAGCUAAUGAGUCAGGCUCCUCCUCACAGGAACUAUCUCCCGCAGAACGACAAGAAUUGCAGAAUAAGUUGGAUAAGCUUCAUUCCAUGUUGGAUUAGGGCGUACGAUUGCGGAUUUAAUCAUGAAGAAAGUGCCAAACAUCAGUGGUAGGGAAGAUAUGUUCAGCAGUUUACCAGAUGAAUUGUUGAUUCUUGUACUUUCUUUGCUUCCUACCGAGGAUGCUGCUCCUAUGUGUGUGUGGUGUCUAACCAAAUGAAGCGUGUUUUCUCUUGGAUUAUGACCCUCAACUUCGAUGACUCACAUAUAUCUCAUUGUUCUGAACAUCUCUAUGCAAUUGAAUGUAUCCCCACUUUCUAGACUUUUUUGGAUGUUCUCAUCCACUUUCAAGGUAUCGACUUCGCGUUGGCGCUGCCUUCGCUUCCAGAUGCUUUCACGGUGAUGAGGCUCAUUUUUGUAAAUCAACAAUGUGUGGAUCUCUUUUCUUUUUGAGGGAGUAUAUCUCUUUUCCGUUAAGCCGUUGUGGCCUCAUGGAGCUUGACCUUCGCAUUCAGUUGAGGGAACCAGGAGAUUGUCAGCUGCCCGCAAAAAUUUUCACAUUUGAAAUGUUAGAAGUGUUGAAGAUGGAUGUCAACCUUGGUCUCAAACAAGUUUCAAAAGUGUCACCCAUUCAUCUUCCUCGCUUGAAACUGCUCCACUUUCGGGCUUCUCUCAGUAAUUCUGAGGAUUUGUUCUUGAUGUUCAAAGAUGGAUCAUAUUGGGGGAGCCAGGGACCGUUGCUGGUGUUUAUACUGGGAUGGAGUACGGAAUAAGAAGGACUCGUGGCACAAGCGUUUGGGGAUACUGGAUCAAGCAGCCAGAUGCCAAUUCCUAAUAUGACAAUAAGUUACGCACUUACGCUAUCGUGCUUGUGGAGGAGAUGAGCUGAUUCGAUUUCUUGGAUUUAUCAUGUGGUGUUACAUCUACAAAAUUGCAUCCCUUGACUCAUCAACCACUCUCCUAGCUCUUAGAUCUCCUUCUCUCCCCUUCUCUAUGUUAAAUCCUAUUCAGGUAUUUUUCUUCUUAUUUUCUCUCGAUUCCGAAUUUUCUAGGUCUACUGGUCCAGGUAUUUUUGUUUUGAUUUUGUAUGGGUUUUUUGUGUGUUUCGUGUUCUUAUCUUCUCUCGAUUCUUGGAAUUUCUAGGUGUAGGUAUUUAAAAUUUGAUUUUUAAUGAGUUUUGGUGUUUCAAUCUUCUCUCAAUUUAUGUAUUUUUUAGGUCUAGGUAUUAAAAUUCCAAUUUUUAGGGGUAUUUGGUGUUUCCGAAUCCUAUCUUCUCUCAACCUCUGAAAAUUUUCCAGGUCUAUGUAUUUCAAUUUCGACUUUUUGGGGGUUUUUUGUGAUUCAGAUUCUAAUUUAUAUACCUAACCCUAGAGCCGCUCCUUGUCAAACCUGGUAAAUUUAGCGGCUCCACUGUCAAGCUUUACGCCAUUGUUGUAGCCUCCACUAUCAAGAUUUUUUUGGUACAACUCGCUUCUUUUUUUAGUCAUUAUCUUUAGCUUUGUUGUUCAGGCACUUGAUUGUUUCCCCCUUUUUAAGGAGACCGUCUUGGAAGUCAACCAUGAACGCCUGUAUCAAGUAUUUCCUUUACUUUUACUGAAGCCCUUCAGGUUUAUUCAUGUUUUUCCGUAGGUGUAGUUAUUGUAGGUGUAGUUAGAUAAAUGUUUUUUUUGUAGGCGUAAUGUACAAAAUAUUUUAUAGUAUACAAUGCUAUGUUUUUUGUUUAGUUACAAUGUAUUAUAUAAUUGAUGGUGUUGAUAGUGUUGUAGCCAUAAGAAAGCUUCUCUAAUUGCUUUAGUUUUUCCUUAGAAAGUUAGAUUGUCCUGCAUGCCAUUGAUGUUGGUAGCUGGGAAAUUUCUGUAAUUUAGUAUUCUGUUUGAAGUUAACACUUCAUUUGUUUAUAGUUUACACCUUUGAUUAAAUAAUUUAUAAAUUAUAAUUUCAUUGUAAGUGUAUAAUGAUACACGGAGUAUUAGAUGUGCUAAAUUGUUUAUCUGGUUGACCUAUUGAUUUAAUUAGGUUAAAAUAUUAGUAAUUUCCUAAAUUUGAUUGAUUGCACAAAACCCUUACAGAGAAAUCAUAGAAAUCGAGUAAGAAAAUAAGAAAGUGGGUUAGAUCAUUAUGCAGUACUUUGAUAAUACUUAUGAAGUUAUGAGUGCAGUUAAUCUAUAUUGUAUAAUAAUUUCUGUAAUUUAAAUUUUUUAGUUUCAGUUUAUUUUUCUUCUAUAAUAUAAAGUUAUAAAGACUGUAUUACGUAUGUUAUAUAAAAAAUAGGCUUAGGGUGGGUUUUUUUUUUUUUUUUUUUAAAUCUUAAUCUUCACUUUCGUAGAUAACAAAAAGUAGUUAUUUGUUUUCAGUUUCUUAUGUUGUCAUUAUUUCAGUUUUACUUGCUUAAAGAUGCAAUAGAUUAUUAUCUUUAAUUUUGUAAUUGAGAACCACUACAUUUGAAGAAAUGUUCAACCUUUGACAUUGUAUUUCAUUUCAUGUUGAUUUUGAUGUAUGUCAAUCUUAUCUUGAGCAUGUUGGACCUUCAGCAAUGGUUUCAAAUCCGUCGUACCAUGAAACUCGCUACCAACAUUAGAUAAUCUUGAUCUGGGUGUAAUUAAGAGCCUACCUUCAGAGUUGUUUUCAGAGAUUAAUGAUAUAUAUGCAUGGAAAGAAGUUGACUGAUCUCAUCUCAAAACUCAAAGGCAAAGCUGACUUUCGUAGUCGCUGUGCUAUGCCUAUGAAGGAAGUUGAAGGUAACAAUCUGUCUAGAUGUAUCUGAAGAUUCCCAUAGUACUAUCUGACAUCAAUGAUUAUUUAGUUGAACUCCUCAAGAACAUGAAGUUCGUGCUUUAUAACAUUAUUGCCAAGGAUAAGCUAGCUGACUUUCUUGUUGCCGACACUUAAACGAUGCUUAUCAUAAGAGUCAUUUUGUAGUUUUGCUUCUUUAUUUAAUCUCUUCACAUAUUGAUCAUUCAAGUAUAAAUUCACAGCAGGCAAAAAAAAUAUAAUGUUGCAUCAGAAUAACAGCCUUUAAGGGUGUGGUGAUAUAAGGACUAAUUAUGUCAUACUUUAUAUAUGAUAGGGUUUGUUAUAGAACAAGGGUUGCAUGUUAGAACAAACAUUAAAUGCUUAUACUUAUGAGUGCAAGGGAUGAGUGUUGCAUAUUAGAAAAUCCUGAAAAAUAAUUGUUAAGAAAUUCUCUUUGAAACGUACUUCAUGACUUCUGUUUGUCUUCUGAAGUUCUUUUCAACCAUCUUCCCAUAAAGGAUCGGAGAAACUUUCUUGUUCUUUUCAACCAUCUUCCCAUAAAGGAUCGGAGAAACUUUCUUACUACUUUUUUUAUCUGGUUUAGACAUAUUUUUAUUAAAAUAAAUCUUUUAUGGAUUUUCGGAUUUUUGUCAUAAGAUUUGGAAGAAAGGGACGAAUUAUCUUUAUAUUAAAGUUUGUAACUAUGAUUUGUAAGAUCAACUGCUGAAUGCUUUCUCUAAAGAUAGUGUGACAGAAAAACUGUCUUGGGCGAUAGUUCUUCAAUACAAAAUUUUAAAAAAUAUAAUGUUCUCCCCCUGAAUUAAUGCCUUAAAAAUAAGAAGGGAACCAAGGGAUUGUCCUGACUCCUGGGUUUUGUUCCAUCUUGGAAGGUUCUUUCUUUUGGCUUUUACUUGCAGUCCCAGGGUUUGAUGAUAAAAGCAUUACUGAUCUUGUUUCUCCGUGUUCAAUUUUUCUGAAUAGCUGAUGUUAGCAGUUAGCUUUUUUAGCUUGUUACGUAUGUUGGUGGUGUCGAUGAUGGCAUUGGUACCUAAGACUUGUAUUCCAAAUUUCAACCAUUUGUUCUAUAUUUCUUGUGCUCCCAUGUAUUGCUGACAUUGGCUUUUAUCUAUGUUGUGAUUGUGACAUAUGCUAACUAUUUCCUUGUUAUUUUUAACAUGCCACACCUGUAUUAUUGAAAGCUAUGGAGGACACUCGCAGCUGCUGUAAGGUAAAGGCUUCCUCAUUGAAAUUCUUAUUAUGUUAGGCAGUAGGCACUGAUCUCUUCAUUUCACUUGUUUUUGGAGUUGGAAAUUUCUGUAUUGAUCAUACACUUUAGAAGCUAUAAGUAGAUUUGGUAAAUUAAACUAUCAAUCUGGAGGGGUUUUGUUACCAUUGGUGUUUGUGUAUCAAAUGAGCUCGAAUUCCAGCGUGUACGUUGCAGUCUUCCACUCUCUCCUCACCGGGCUUUUGUGCAUGGCCCUUAUCCUCGUUGCUAGAGACUAUUUUGCCCGUUAUUUACACUGACGGCAAGGAAUUGCAACAAGCAACUGCUAAAUUAUCCUGGCUUCUUGGUGUGACAAUGGUUCUUAACAGUGUUCAGCCUGUCGUUUUUUGCAAUUCCUGCUAUGUUUUUGCCUUUUUUUCCUUUUUAUCGACGUGCAACUGAUAGAUACUCUCUUAAACACCCUGUACUUGAGUACUUCAUAGUUCCGUAAUUAGUUUCUAUAUGGUAGUUGUAGGAGUUGACAUUGGAGGGGGUGACAAGCAACUGUGGCAAUUAUAAAUGUGGUCUGCUAUUAUGCUUUUGAGCUACCUCUUGGAUACAUUAUCGGCUAUGUAGCAAAAUUUUGGUGUAAUGGUACUGAAUAUUAUAUAUUCCUUUCCAUUUGUAAUUUUGGAGUAAUAGGACUGAAUAUAUAUUGAAUAUAAGGUACUGAAUGUAUAUAUUCCUUUCCAUUUGUACUUAAGAUUAUAGUUCCUCA